UACAGAGGUCUCAAGCGUUGUUCGGAUUCAUUGGGCGUAAAGGGUGUGUAGGUGGCGCCGUAAGUCGGGUGUGAAAUUUCGGAGCUUAACUCCGAAACUGCAUUCGAUACUGCGGUGCUUGAGGACUGGAGAGGAGACUGGAAUUCAUGGUGUAGCAGUGAAAUGCGUAGAGAUCAUGAGGAAGACCAGUUGCGAAGGCGGCUCUCUGGACCAGCACUGACACUGAGGCACGAAAGCGUGGGGAGCAAACAGG
rnacentral:rRNA from 1 species